CAGGCACACGCCACCAUGCCCAGCUAAUUUUUUGCACUUUUAAAGUAGAGAUGGGGUUUCACCAUGUUGGCCAGGAUGGUCUCGAUCCCUUGACCUCGUGAUCAACCCACCUCGGCCUCCCAAAGUGCUGGGAUUACAGGCGUGAGCCACC